rnacentral:rRNA from 1 species
AGCAGCCGCGGUAAUUCCAGCUCCAAUAGCGUAUAUUAAAGUUGUUGCAGUUAAAAAGCUCGUAGUUGAAUUUCGGGAUCAAUGCGUCGGUCGUGCUUUCGGGUACGUACUGGUGUCAUUGGUUUCUCCUUUCUGACGAGCCGUGAUGUCAUUAAUUUGGUGUUACGGGUAGUUAGGACUGUUACUUUGAAAAAAUUAGAGUGUUUAAAGCAGGCAUUCGCUUGAAUACAUUAGCAUGGAAUAAUGAAAUAGGACGUUCGACCCUAUUUUGUUGGUUUCUAGGAUCAACGUAAUGAUUAAUAGGGAUAGUUGGGGGCAUUAGUAUUCAAUUGUCAGAGGUGAAAUUCUUGGAUUUAUUGAAGACUAACUACUGCGAAAGCAUUUGCCAAGGAUGUUUUCAUUAAUCAAGAACGAAAGUUAGGGGAUCGAAGACGAUCAGAUACCGUCGUAGUCUUAACCAUAAACUAUGCCGACUAGGGAUCGGAUGAUGUUAAUUUUUUAAUGACUCAUUCGGCGCCUUACG